CCAGUACGCGGGCGGGGAGGAAGGGUAGCAGGAGCCUGGUGCUGGGACAGACUCUAAGGAGGGAAGGAGGAAGGAGACCAGCUUUAACCAGAGCAAGUGUGCAGCUCGAGCGGGUCCCUGCGGCGCUGGUACGGCCUUGUAGGAAAACAUGGCAGCUGGGGUUAAAAAAAAACACAAACCACUUUGAAUCCUAAUCACGCCUUUCCAAGCUGCAUGGGAGGCAGAGAGAGCUUCUGGUCUCGCAGAACCUCUGCUUGAUUGUCUGCUAAAUAGGAUUGUGUGAGAAGUAAAUGAGACACGGGGCCCACGUACACCUGGUCAGCGUCGAGCCUUCCUGGGAUGCAGAAGGGCUUUGGAAUGUCAGAAAGAAGUGGAAGAAAUUCUUCAGGUCCCUGGAAACCCUACCUCCCUGGAGGUGUUGAGGGGGAGAGAGAAUAAUUAAAUAGCUUUGUUGGUCUAAUAAUACCUGUCAACUAAAAUCGUAAAACCAAAUCAUCAGAGAUGACUUCUCAAGGAUCCUUACAGCAAGUCGUGGGCCCAGCUUUGUCUGGCUCGCUAAACAGACUGGGUUCGUGUUGGAUCCCAGAGCACGGCAUGUGCUUUGGCUCUGGUCUGUAGCACAUCACAGCUGUUAUCCCUUUGCAUCAUUCAGGUCUCAUUUCUGAGUUCCUUCAUGAGUUCAUUCUUAUUUCCCGGGACCUCCCUAAGUGGGGGAGGGGCAAGAAUUUUUGUCUGUUUCAUCCACAUCCAUAGCUUCAUCCCCUACAUCAACACCUGGCACAUAGUAGGAGCCCAAUAAAUGUGAAUGUGGAAGGAGCCCA
rnacentral:lncRNA from 1 species